ACUACAGGCUUUCUGAGAAUGCAACAUAUAGAUGGGCUCAUGAUCAAGGGUUGGACUUGACCGUGGAUUCUGUCACACAGGUUAUCCAUGAAUGUGAAACAUGUGCUGGAAUUAAGCAAGCCAAGCAGUUAAAGACCCUGUGGUAUGGAGCAUGAUGGCUGAAAUAUAAAUAUGGGGAGGCCUAGCAGAUUGACUGUAUCACACUCCCACAAACCUGCCAAGGCAAGCACCAUGUGCUUACAAUGGUGGAAGCAAC